AUGAACGCUGGCGGCGUGCCUAAUCCAUGCAAGUCGAGCGAACAGACGAGGAGCUUGCUCCUCUGACGUUAGCGGCGGACGGGUGAGUAACACGUGGAUAACCUACCUAUAAGACUGGGAUAACUUCGGGAAACCGGAGCUAAUACCGGAUAACAUGUUGAACCGCAUGGUUCAACAGUGAAAGACGGUUUUGCUGUCACUUAUAGAUGGAUCCGCGUCGCAUUAGCUAGUUGGUAAGGUAACGGCUUACCUAGGCAACGAUGCGUAGCCGACCUGAGAGGGUGAUCGGCCACACUGGAACUGAGACACGGUCCAGACUCCUACGGGAGGCAGCAGUAGGGAAUCUUCCGCAAUGGGCGAAAGCCUGACGGAGCAACGCCGCGUGAGUGAAGAAGGUCUUCGGAUCGUAAAACUCUGUUAUUAGGGAAGAACAAAUGUGUAAGUAACUAUGCACGUCUUGACGGUACCUAAUCAGAAAGCCACGGCUAACUACGUG
rnacentral:rRNA from 1 species